AAGAUUGGUUGCGAGGCUAGCUGCCAGCUGGACCUACGGGAGCGGGUGACAAACCCCCAUACGCUCGAGGACCAGACAUGGUGCCGCCACUGCCUUUUGGGCCCGUCCCCGUUGCCAGGGACGGAAGCCCAACACACAAGCCGUGCUUGAGGGCAGCAAUGACGCUCGGACAGGCAUGCCCCCCGGAAUACCAGGGGGCGCAAUGUGCGUUCAAAGACUCGAUGAUUCACUGAAUUCUGCAAUUCACAUUAAUUAUCGCAUUUCGCUGCGUUCUUCAUCGAUGCCGGAACCAAGAGAUCCGUUGUUGAAAGUUUUAACGAUUGUUGAACUAAAAACUCAGACUGCAAACUUCAGACAACGUUCAAAUGUUAGUCUCCGGCGGGCCGGGACCACCCCGAAGCAACAUGGUACACAUAGACACUGAUGCGGAUGUUGGCCCUCAAAGAAAAAAUAACGCUCAAAAGAUACCUUCGCGAGAUUAGGCCCAUAAAAACCAGAACUCUGUAUCAUCCUUCCGAGUAUUGAUUAUUAUAAAUGCUGAAUAUCUCAAAUAAAUCUAUAAUGAUAUAACCUUGAUACACCAUAAUAUAUCUACCUUAUACAUAUAAUCACUCAUCACACUCUAAAUACUCUUCCACCUUCUUCCUGAUUAAAUAUGUAUAAUAUUGCUGUAAUUACAGUCUACUUUGAUAACUAUCGAAUUCUCAUAAUUCCCAUCCUUCCUACAAUAUAACUUAAUAUUUUUAUCUU
rnacentral:misc_RNA from 1 species